rnacentral:sRNA from 1 species
UCUCUCGUGGGACGAACGGCCUGGGCA